UCCCUCAGUAACGGCGAGCGAAGUGGGAAGGUGCCCAGGUCUGGAAUCUCCGGUCGGGUUAAGGACGGCCGGCGAAUUGUGGUCUGGAGAGACGGACUGUCCCCUUCCACCGCUCCGGACGGGCCCGAAGUCGACUUGGAACGGCGUGCCGGAGAGGGUGAGAGCCCCGUAGGGCUGGGAAACCGAGAGCGGGGGGACGAGGGUCCGUACUCGUCGAGUCGGGUUGUUUGGGAGUGCAGCCCAAAGCGGGUGGUAGACUCCAUCCAAGGCUGAAUACGGGCGCGAGACCGAUAGCGAACAAGUACCGUGAGGGAAAGGUGAAAAGCACUUUGAAGAGAGAGUCCAAGAGACCGUGAAACCGUUGGGAGGGAAGCCCAGGGCGUCGAGGCGGUAUCGGCUCCGAGUCGGGUUCAGUCGGCUAUUCCGKUAGGAUGGUCGGUGCAGUUCCGGCGGGAGUGCGACCGUCAGCAGGGUCCGAGGGCGAGGUGUAGCGCUCGUCGGGGCAGGUGGCUAGUUCGUGUCUCUCCGGAGCGCGGACAGCACUUAGAGUCCGUCGAUGCUGGUGCCUUGCGAACGGAUCGGUAGCGUGGAGCGUCAAGUCGCUCAAGAUGGUGUAGGCGCAGUUCUCGCUCAGGCGAGGAUCGGGUUCCGUCCGCGCCGUGGCCGGAUUCGCCGGAAGUUGGGUCGAGUUGUCGCUCCGGCGCACUCUCGACGGCUCCGGGGUCGAUCGGUGGCGGUCGGGCGAGAGCCAGGUGCUGCGCGUCGUCUGUUGGCGUGGAGUCGUCGCCCUGUGCCCCGUCUUGAAACACGGACCAAGGAGUGCAAGAGGCUCGCGAGUCGGAGGGAGCGGUGACCUGUCGCCGUGACGGGAUUCCCUUCGAGGCGAAGCGAGAGCAAAGUUGGGUGCGAGAGCCUGGCCGAGGGGCGAGGUGCAUCGCGGGCCGAGUCGAGGUCACGC
rnacentral:rRNA from 1 species